rnacentral:rRNA from 1 species
GAUGAACGCUGGCGGCGUGCUUAACACAUGCAAGUCGAACGGAAAGGCCCAAGCUUGCUUGGCUACUCGAGUGGCGAACGGGUGAGUAACACGUGGGUGAUCUGCUCUGCACUUCGGGAUAAGCCUGGGAAACUGGGUCUAAUACCGGAUAGGACAGUAGUUUGGAUGCAAUUGAGGAAAGUUUUUUCGGUGUGGGAUGAGCUCGCGGCGUAUGAGCUUGUUGGCGGUGUAGUGGCAUACCCAGGCGUCGACGGGUAUCCGGCCUGAGAGGGGGUAGCGCGACUCAGGAAGUGAGAGGCCAUCCUGAGUCUUAGAGACGGCACAGGUUCCUAAGAGAGGCAGCAGGGGGGAAUAUUGCACGAGGGAUGCAAGCCUGAUGAAGCGGCGCGGCGUGGGGGAUAACGGUCUUCGUGUUGUAGAAAAGUUUCGCGAGAAACGCAGCGUUAUGUGACGGUACCUAGAGAAGAAGCACCGGCUAACUACGUG